AGGCCCAGCUCAGAGAGGCCCAGCUCAGAGAGGCCCAGCUCAGAGAGGCCCAGCUCAUGAUUUCCAUCUUCAGCAGAUUUUAAUUCAUGUGUUUAUACAACAAAAUGCUAGUGCAAAGAAUUGUAUUGCAUCGUUCAUUAAUCAAACCGAAUCGAUUCAAACUAAAACUUAUCGUUACUGUAUCGUAUUGGAGUGCAUGCAUCUAGAUACGGAACUACUCAUCUUGAAAGAGAAAAAUGCAAAUCCCUAGAGUCUGUCUGUGUGUGUGUGCUAAACUGUGGCUGGGGUCUGUGCGUGUCGGCCCACCCGUGUGUUGUUGCGUAAUCGCAUAGACCAGACUGAUGCUAAAAAUGGCCCUGGAUAAAAAGUAUUGUGACCCAGAGCAGGGCACUGUGUGUGUCUGUCAGUGGCCAUUUCGGCAAGGAGCUUACCACUGAUGUCACCCUAUAACACCAGUCAGAGAGGAGGGAAGGAUGUAAACAUAGGAGAGAGUGAGGAAGAGGGAAAUUAAGGGGAAAUGGAAGGAAUUGGGGCAAUGUAAACAUGAGGGAGAGGUGGAGAGAGGGGAAAGGAAGGUACUGGGGCAAUGUAAACAUGAGGAAGAGAUGGAGAGAGGGGAAAGGAAGGUAUUGGGGCAAUGUAAACAUGAGGGAGAGAUGGAGAGAGGGGAAAGGAAGGUAUUGGGGCAAUGUAAACAUGAGGGAGAGAUGGAGAGAGGGGAAAGGAAGGUAGUGAGAAAAAGAAGAGGCGUAUGGAGUGAACACUGUCAGAGAAUAAAACAUGGAGAAAGGAAUGGAGAAACAGAUGAGCGUUUCCCAACAACAGGUCAGGACCUAUUGGGUCACUGCUAUUCCUUUUGGGACACACCUAAACACAAGAUUAAACCCAAACACACUGGUCUGGUUUAUUGGGCGAAUCACAAUAUAUUUCAAAUCAGCUUUGAGCAUUUGGCAGUAUGAAUCUAUAUGAAGCUGCAUGAAGCUGCGUGAAGCAGUGUGAAGCAGUAUGAAGCUGCGUGAAGCAGUAUGAAGCAGUGUGAAGCAGUGUGAAGCAGUGCGAAGCAGUGUGAAGCAGUGCGAAGCAGUGCGAAGCAGUGUGAAGCAGUGUGAAGCUGUGUAAAGCUGUAUGAAGCUGUAUGAAGCUGUAUGAAGCUGUGUAAAGCUGUAUUGGGCUGUAUUAGGCAUUGCGUCGUCCUGAACCUUCUUUCAGCAUUCUAGUUCCAGUCUACCUUCCACUGCUCAGACCUCAGCGGCCCAGUAAAUGGUUGAGAUCAGCACAUCACAACUAUCAAAUAUCAAUGGCUUUACAUGGCUAACAGCGCUAGAGGCUGUUCAUCUGACAGAGAGAAAAAACACUAUAUGACAGCUUCCGGACAGGGAUAAGAGGGAGAGAAGUAAAGAGAGGGAUGGAGAGAUGUGAGAAGUGGAGGAUACAGGCUAGCCAGCAUUCUGAAGACAGGAAAAGAGAGCGACAAACAAUUGAGAGAGAGAGCGAGAGCGAGGGAUCGAGAACGAGGGAGCGAGAGAGAGAACGAGAGAGAACGAGCGAGAGCAAGAAAGAGAGAGAGAGAUUGAGCGCAAGAAAGAGGGAGAGAGAGCGAGAGCAAGAAAGAGAGAGAGAGAGCGAGCGCAAGAAAGAGGGAGAGAGAGCGAGAGCAAGAAAGAGAGAGAGAGAGCGAGCGCAAGAAAGAGAGAGAGAGAGCGAGCGCAAGAAAGAGAGAGAGAGAGCGAGCGCAAGAAAGAGGGAGAGAGAGCGAGCGAGCGCAAGAAAGAGAGAGAGAGAGCGAGAGCAAGAAAGAGAGAGAGAGCGAGCGAGAGUGUGUAUGAUGCUGUACAGCACUGACAGUAAGGCCUGCCAUUAAACUUGAAUCACUCUGCUUUCCUAUAAAUACCUUUCCAAUGAUCUAUGCAUUAUUCAAUCCCUCUCAGGCCAACACACAUCACACACACCUGGGAGGAGACGUAAACAGAGUUCAGAGAAAUGACUGCAUAUAAACAUUUCAGGAAAAUUACCUGUACGAGUGUGUGUGUGUGUGUGUGUGUGUGUGUGUGUGUGUGUGUGUGUGUGUGUGUGUGUGUGUGUAUCCUGCAUGGUGUGGCACCCCUAAAGCUGAGUUGAUAAUGCUAACCACGCGGUAAUUCAGCACCUGUGUCCUUACAGCAACAAGCCCAACAAUGGGUCUGCACUGCUCCCUCAGUUGAAGGGAACGGGGGAGGGAGAGAGAGAGAGAGAGAAAGAGGAACGGGGGAGAGAGAGGGAGGAAUGGGGGAGAGAGAGAGAGAGAGAAAGAGGAACGGGGGAGAGAGAGAGAAAGAGGAACGGGGGAGUGAGAGAGAGAGAGAAAGAGGAACGGGGAGAGAGAGAGAGAGAAAGAGGAACGGGGGAGUGAGAGAGAGAGAGAAAGAGGAACGGGGGAUGAGGAGAGAGAGAGAAAGAGGAACGGGGGAGUGAGAGAGAGAGAAAGAGGAAUGGGGGAGUGAGAGAGAGAGAAAGAGGAGGAGAGGAGAAAAAAAUCCAGAAAAGUGGAUGGGGAGAAAGGAGAAGGGGACCGGGAGAGUUGCAGUGAAAAAAGAGGGGCAGAUCGAGGGGAGGGAGAGGGAGUUAAUGGAAGAGGAUCUGCCACUGGGGUAUUCUACCAUGGGAUGGGUGACAGAGAGGGGGAGGAGAGGAGAGGAUGGAGGGGCCAGUUAAUCUAUGUUUUAAAAGGUUUCACUCCUCAGAGACCUUCACACACACCAACACUCUCCUACACCAACGACCCCAUGCACUCUCACGAUUCUAUCCAUUACUUUAAUCAAUAGAACAGACCCAAGGCCAGAGCAGCCAUGGUGAUGUUUUCAUCCAAAAUAACAUGCUAGCUAAGUAGCUAUGAUUUCAGACAAAAACCAGGGACGGGGGAGUGGGGGAGUGUGUGUGAUUCUGUUGUACAAAGUACAGUGCUUAUGUACAGGCCUGCCACAAGGAGCAAAUGAGAUCAACCAGUCACAGCUGAUAAAAGACAGAGGAUGUCCUCUUUCCACACACACACACACACACACACACACACACACACACACACACACACACACACACACACACACACACACACACACACACACACACACACACAAAUAGCAUGGUGAUAUUGAAACAGACAAACAGGUGUUCACCUUCACACACAUUAAGACUGAAAGAAUGCAAGCUGGUUUAAUGCUGACUACAGUAGAUUAUCGUUCUCUACAUGUGGCUUGUUUGAUCCCUUCAUAAAUGGGUUGUUUUGUGAGAGCACACUCUGAGCUGAACUUUCCUUUGGGACAACACAGCUCCGUCAAGACACACACACCCCUCCUCUGGGACAUAUUGUGUGCUCUCACACACACAUAAUUUUCACAGGGCUUUCAUACUAGAGGCCAUACCUAGUAAUACACACAUAUCUCAAUUACACUGCUUGGCCAGUAUUAGUGACUCACACACAGGUUCCCCUAAGCAACACACACACACACACAUUUCUGAGGGAAACCACAUGCUUACUUGAGAUAAAUUGGCUCAAAGUUCAAAAUGAACAGUGAUGCAGGUACAUAGAGGACAGGGCAGGUACAUAGAGGACAGGGCAGGUACAUAGAGGACAGGGCAGGUACAUAGGGGACAGGGCAGGUACAUAGGGGACAGGGCAGGUACAUAGGGGACAGGGCAGGUAGGUACAUAGAGGACAGGGCAGGUAGGUACAUAGAGGACAGGGCAGGUAGGUACAUAGAGGACAG
ensembl:lncRNA